rnacentral:rRNA from 1 species
AUUAACGCUGGCGGCUUGCCUAACACAUGCAAGUCGAAUGUUGCCGCAAGGUAAACAUGGCAGACGGCUGAGUAACGCGUGGGGACUUACCCCGAAGUCGAGCAUAACUCGCCGAAAGGCGAGAUAAUUCUCGAUGUGGUCGAAAGACUAAAGAUUUAUCGCUUCGGGAGAGACCUGCGUCCGAUUAGCUUGUUGGUGAGGUAACGGCUCACCAAGGCUUUGAUCGGUAGGGGGCCUGAGAGGGUGACCCCCCAGACUGGGACUGAGACACGGCCCAGACUCCUACGGGAGGCAGCAGUGAGGGAUUUUCCACAAUGGGCGAAAGCCUGAUGGAGCAAUGCCGCGUGCAGGAUGACGGCCCUCGGGUUGUAAACUGCUUUUUUACGGAAAGAUUAUGACGGUACCGUAAGAAUAAGACGCUGCUAACUACGU